rnacentral:tRNA from 1 species
GGUUAGAGUGGUACUGCGUCUCACUCGUAUGUUCACAUCGAUAUGAGAAGAUCCUCGGUUCGAUUCCGAGCGUGAGCA